rnacentral:rRNA from 1 species
AUUGAACGCUGGCGGCAGGCUUAACACAUGCAAGUCGAGCGAGCGGCGGACGGGUGAGUAAUGUCUGGGAAACUGGCUGAUGGAGGGGGAUAACUACUGGAAACGGUAGCUAAUAGCGCAUACCAUCAGAUGUGCCCAGGUGGGAUUAGCUGGCAGGGGGGGGAAUGGCUCACCUAGGCGACGAUCCCUAGCUGGUCUGAGAGGAUGAUCAGCCACACUGGAACGGAGACACGGUCCAGACUCCUACGGGAGGCAGCAGUGGGGAAUAUUGGACAAUGGGCGCAAGCCUGAUGCAGCCAUGCCGCGUGUGUGAAGAAGGCCUUCGGGUUGUAAAGCACUUUCAGCGGGGAGGCGUUACUCGCAGAGGAAGCACCGGCUAACUCCGUGCCAGCAGCCGCGGUAAUUC